rnacentral:rRNA from 1 species
UGAAGAGAGGAGCUUGCUCUUCUUGGAUGAGUUGCGAACGGGUGAGUAACGCGUAGGUAACCUGCCUUGUAGCGGGGGAUAACUAUUGGAAACGAUAGCUAAUACCGCAUAACAAUGGAUGACACAUGUCAUUUAUUUGAAAGGGGCAAUUGCUCCACUACAAGAUGGACCUGCGUUGUAUUAGCUAGUAGGUGAGGUAACGGCUCACCUAGGCGACGAUACAUAGCCGACCUGAGAGGGUGAUCGGCCACACUGGGACUGAGACACGGCCCAGACUCCUACGGGAGGCAGCAGUAGGGAAUCUUCGGCAAUGGGGGCAACCCUGACCGAGCAACGCCGCGUGAGUGAAGAAGGUUUUCGGAUCGUAAAGCUCUGUUGUAAGUCAAGAACGAGUGUGAGAGUGGAAAGUUCACACUGUGACGGUAGCUUACCAGAAAGGGACGGCUAACUACGUGCCAGCAGCCGCGGUAAUACGUAGGUCCCGAGCGUUGUCCGGAUUUAUUGGGCGUAAAGCGAGCGCAGGCGGUUUGAUAAGUCUGAAGUUAAAGGCUGUGGCUCAACCAUAGUUCGCUUUGGAAACUGUCAAACUUGAGUGCAGAAGGGGAGAGUGGAAUUCCAUGUGUAGCGGUGAAAUGCGUAGAUAUAUGGAGGAACACCGGUGGCGAAAGC